rnacentral:rRNA from 1 species
GAUGCAUAGCCGACCUGAGAGGGUGAUCGGCCACAUUGGGACUGAGACACGGCUCAAACUCAUACGGGAGGCAGCAGUAGGGAAUCUUCCACAAUGGACGAAAGUGUGAUGGAGCACCCCCGCGUGAGUGAUGAAGGUUUUCGGAUCGUAAAACUCUGUUGUAAGGGAAGAACAAGUACGUUAGGAAAUGAACGUACCUUGACGGUACCUUAUUAGAAAGCCACGGCUAACUACGUGCCAGCAGCCGCGGUAAUAAGUAGGUGGCAAGCGUUGUCCGGAUUUAUUGGGCGUAAAGCGCGCGCAGGUGGUUUUUUAAGUCUGAUGUGAAAGCCCACGGCUCAACCGUGGAGGGUCAUUGGAAACUGGGGAACUUGAUUGCAGAAGAGGAUAGUGGAAUUCCAAGUGUAGCGGUGAAAUGCGUAGAGAUUUGGAGGAACACCAGUGGCGAAGGGGACUGUCUGGUCUGUAACUGACACUGAGGCGCGAAAGCGUGGGGAGCAAACAGGAUUAGAUACCCUGGUAGUCCACGCCGUAAACGAUGAGUGCUAAGUGUUAGGGGGUUUCCGCCCCUUAGUGCUGCAGCUAACGCAUUAAGCACUCCGCCUGGGGAGUACCACCGCAAGGUUGAAACUCAAAGGAAUUGACGGGGGCCCGCACAAGCGGAGGAGCAUGUGGUUUAAUUCAAAGCAACGCGAAAAACCUUACCAGGUCUUGACAUCCCAAUGACCGCUCUAGAGAUAAAGUUUUCCCUUCGGAGACAUUGGAGACAGGUGGUGCAUGGUUGUCCUCACCUCGUGUCAUGAGAUGUUGGGUUAAGUCCCGCAACGAGCGCAACCCUUAAUCUUAGUUGCCAUCAUUUAGUUGGGCACUCUAAGGAGACUGCCGGAGACAAACCAGAAGAAGGUGGGGAUGACGUCAAAUCAUCAUGCCCCUUAUGACCUGGGCUACACACGUGCUACAAUGGACGGUACAAAGAGUCGCUAACUCGCGAGAGUACUCUAAUCUCAUAAAACCGUUCUCAGUUCAGAUUGUACGCUGCAACUCGCCUACAUGAAU